rnacentral:rRNA from 1 species
AUUGAACGCUGGCGGCAGGCCUAACACAUGCAAGUCGAGCGGCAGCGGGAAAGUAGCUUGCUACUUUUGCCGGCGAGCGGCGGACGGGUGAGUAAUGCCUGGGGAUCUGCCCAGUCGAGGGGGAUAACUACUGGAAACGGUAGCUAAUACCGCAUACGCCCUACGGGGGAAAGCAGGGGACCUUCGGGCCUUGCGCGAUUGGAUGAACCCAGGUGGGAUUAGCUAGUUGGUGAGGUAAUGGCUCACCAAGGCGACGAUCCCUAGCUGGUCUGAGAGGAUGAUCAGCCACACUGGAACUGAGACACGGUCCAGACUCCUACGGGAGGCAGCAGUGGGGAAUAUUGCACAAUGGGGGAAACCCUGAUGCAGCCAUGCCGCGUGUGUGAAGAAGGCCUUCGGGUUGUAAAGCACUUUCAGCGAGGAGGAAGGGGUGUGUGUUAAUAGUACACACCUUUGACGUUACUCGCAGAAGAAGCACCGGCUAACUCUGUGCCAGCAGCCGCAGUAA